GGCAGCACACAACCCCCCUUCCCGCCCCCGCAGUGAGAUUCCCUGGGCUCUACUGGAAGUCAGAGAAGAGUGGUGGAGCCGGUGCUUGCUGGAGCAUAAAUGGUGUUGAGCGCCUGGGGAGGAGAGCCGUCGUCGAGCUUGACUCCCAGGACCUGCUGUUCUCCCGAGGGAGAGCACAGUACACGGAUGAGAAUGACCUUAAGCGUCCCUAUUCGAUUUGGUGAGCGCUUAGUAUCUGUUAGACGCCGGGCCAAGAACUCGUCAACAGCCUUUCAUUGACUCCUAAUAACCAGUGAUGUUGCCGCCUCAGAGUCCCCUCCUGACUUCCCUGCUCAAAGUUGCUCCCUCCUCCGGUCACUGUGACAUCAUCAAGUUUUGUCUUGACAGCGCUUGUCACGGGCAAUGAACUUGCAGUUCAUGUGCCACCCACCAGAAAACCGGUUCCCGAGGGCCAGGGUUUGCUUUGUUCACAGCCGAAUCCCCAUGUCUGGAUCGGCAUAGGGCACGUGGUGGAAGCUCAGUAAAUGCUUGCUGAGUGAAUUAAGGCUCAGCCCAAUGCUUUCAUUCAAAUCCUUUGCCCAUUGAAGAAUUGGAUUAUUUGCCUUUUUAUUGUUGAAUUGUAAGAGUUCUUUAUGUGCUCUGGACACUGGACUCUUAUCAGAUACACGAUUUGCAAGUAUUGUUUCUCAUUUUGUUUGUUGUGUUUUCACUGCUUGCAUAAUGUCUUUUGAUGCACAAAAAUGUUUUUACUUUUAAAAAGAUGUUUUUACUUUCAAUAAAGUCCAGUUUCUGUGUUU